rnacentral:rRNA from 1 species
UACGGAGGGUGCAAGCGUUGUCCGGAAUCACUGGGCGUAAAGGGCGCGUAGGCGGCCCGGUAAGUAGGGGGUGAAAUCCUGCGGCUUAACCGCAGGGCUGCCUUCUAAACUGUCGGGCUCGAGCACGGUAGAGGCAGAUGGAAUUCCCGGUGUAGCGGUGGAAUGCGUAGAGAUCGGGAAGAACACCGGUGGCGAAGGCGGCGACCUGGUCCGUUACUGACGCUGAGGCGCGAAAGCGUGGGGAGCGAACAGG